AGAAUCAACGCUGACGGCGUGCCUCAGACAUGCAAGUCGAACGCGAAAGUUUCCUUCGGGAGAUGAGUAGAGUGGCGCACGGGUGAGUAACACGUAGGUAAUCUACCUUUGGAUGGGGAAUAACAACCGGAAACGGUUGCUAAUACCGCAUAAUGCAGCGGCACCUAAUGGUGACAGUUGUUAAAGCGGGGGAUCGAAAGACCUCGCGUCUAAAGAGGAGCCUGCGGCGGAUUAGCUAGUUGGUAAGGUAAUGGCUUACCAAGGCCACGAUCCGUAACC
rnacentral:rRNA from 1 species